GCACCAACAGAUAUUUAUUUAUUUGUUUAUAUUCUUAGGUGGGAAGCGCCUUGUUCCUGUGGGUCUAGGGGAUGAUGAUCAAUGCAUUGAGGAUGACUUUACUGCAUGGCAAGAGCUCGUAUGGCCCGAGUUGGAUCAAUUGCUUCGGGAUAAAGAUGAUGCAUCGGGUGCUUUGACCCCUUACACUGCUGCCAUACCUGAAUACCGAGUCAUAUUUUAUGACCCUGAGGAUGCAUUCAAUGAUGCAUUCAAAAGCUGCUAUAUUUGCAUUGAACCAAUGGCCAUCAACAAAAACAGGCAUUUUGUUUAAUUCAUCGACUUCCCGAAUUGAGUUCACUUGUCAUUUUGAGCUAGUUUGAUGGAAUUUCCCCACUCUGCUUAAUGUUGGUGUCUGUACUUAGCAAGCAAAAGCACAUCUGAAAAGGCAAGUCAGAGCCUUUAAAUAAUAAUGGCAUAUGCACAUCUUCACUCUUUCCAAACUGGGCCUAUAACUUUGUUCCGUAUAUGUAAUUUUAUACAAAGUGAUGGUGACAUCAAAGCAUUUAACAAGCAAUGUGCAUGAAUAUGAUGCUGUGUGAAUCAGUAAAUAAUAUUAGGGAACUGCAUGAUGCUCGAGUGCACGUGUACUAACAUAGCAAGGAGGUUGGUGCAAGAUCCAACUGGGUUCACUUUUGUCGACACAUAUCAAUUGGAUAUUGCCUUUUGUGUUCUUCUAUACAAAAUCUUAUGGUCUCUAUAUUAUUGCAUGACUGCAUAAAUAGUCCAUACAGUUGGUAUAUAUAGAAGUUAGCAUAGCUGGACAUUCUUAGUUUUCAUAGCUGUCUAUUCUUUUUUCUUGCAAGUUGAGACAAACUUGGUAAUGUAUUGGUAUGUAUUGGCUAUGGAGUCGUAUGUAUUGAUUAUUGGGGACAGAAUUGUAGAAUUUAGUCUUUUCUUGUUGGUCAGUUUGGGAAGAUUAUUUUAAAUCAGUCCAGAAAUAUCUACUAAGUUUAUUUUAAAUCAAUCAUUCUAUCCUUUCUUUUCAUGCUGAUUUUUCUGCUCAUUCUACUGCCCAAUACAAUUUUCAGAUUAAGGAUCGACGAACUUCUGACAUCUUUCAUUAAAUAUAUCUAAAAGUUGCUUUUUCUUUCCUGGGCCUGGAGGUUAGCUAGCAAGUACAAAUUAUGGAAUGGGUGUUUCAGGGGCAUUUUGAUGAUGUUCAAAGGGCACCUAGUUUGCCGUCUAAAGCACCAAAAGAACUCAAAGAGCUGAGAGAUUGUCAAUGAAGAACGAGUGAUGUUCCAAUGCAUUCUAUGUAAUUCACUGAUUGUCACGAGUUCCAAAUUUUCUGUCUCAGAAGUUGGAGGUUUUUUCACGCAGAAGCUGAGUCAAUGGAAGGUAGGCUCAUGGAUUGCAUAAUUCUCCAACCGGAUUUUGGCAGCAUUUCAGGAUUUCGACAUUAUGCUGAGGCUAUAUUUAAGCCACCAAAAGCAAUGUGAGGAGGAAUCCCCAUUUGUUUCCCACAGUUUGGAAACAGUGGAUCACUGGAGCAACAUGGGUUUGCAAGGAACAAGAUUUGGACCAUUGAUGAUGAUCCUCCACCUCUUCAUCCAGUUGAGUACAUUGGCAAAUCUGCUAUAGACUUGCUACUGAAACCAUCUGAAGAGGAUCUGAAGUGUUGGCCCCACAGUUUUGGGUUCCGUCUUAGAUUGGCUCUUGCAUUGAAUGGAGAUCUCACCAUGAUAUCGCGGAUUAGGAACCUCGACAGCAAGCCAUUUAGUUUCUCCUUUGCUUUCCACACAUAUUUCUCUGUUUCUGACAUCAGGAAUUUCAAUGGGAGCUGUUGCUGGAAUCUCUGUUGUAGCGUUUGCCAUUAUACUGUUUCUAGUUUUGUCUAUACAUUGGUGCGUCUAGAAGAAAGAAACUGAAGAAGGCAUCAUUGCGUCGACCACCUUUCGAAGAUAACUCUAUUCACCAUGAUAAGGUAAAUCUCGUGGUUAGGCAUUAAUCUCUACAUUUUCCUUUUAGUAAUGCUCUAAGGUUCCACCAAGGCCAUGGCAAUUUGAAAGUGAUUCAUGCAAGGAAAGAUUGAAUAAGGUGGUUUGUCACUCCCAAGGUAUUCAAUAACGGUGAUGGCCAGCAUAAUAGGUGGUUGUUGAAUUGUUUUAUGGGCUGUAAUGGUCGAUUUUCAUUACCUAUUUCAUCAGUAGCUGAUCUAAUUUUGACUAUUUACUAUAUAUUUAGUUCAGUUUCUUAUUAAGGCCUACUGAGCAUCCAAACACAUUAAUAUUUAGUCCAGCUUCAUACUUAGCCUAAUCUUUUGAAUCUUGUGAAUGUGAUUCUUAUUAAACAAUCGUAUGAAUUAUUUUUUGAAUGAAUAUCAGGUGUAAGAUUCCAAAAAAAAAAAAAA